UACGUAGGGUGCAAGCGUUGUCCGGAAUUAUUGGGCGUAAAGAGCUCGUAGGCGGUUUGUCGCGUCGGCUGUGAAAACUCGGGGCUCAACCCCGAGCCUGCAGUCGAUACGGGCAGACUAGAGUGCUGUAGGGGAGACUGGAAUUCCUGGUGUAGCGGUGAAAUGCGCAGAUAUCAGGAGGAACACCGGUGGCGAAGACGGGUCUCUGGGCAGUAACUGACGCUGAGGAGCGAAAGCGUGGGGAGCGAACAGG
rnacentral:rRNA from 1 species